CCAAUUAGUCUUAACAAAUUAAUUUUCUCCAGAUUUAUUUCCUUGCAUUUACUUACCCGCCAGUACUUCUAUCUGUUUUCUCUUCACAGGAUGAAGGCAAUUAUUGGAAAAAUAUCGGACAAGGCUAUGUUGUGUUUGACAGGUCUUCUCAAGAGGGUCGAGUUGAUUUAUGUUAAGAGGUGUGAAUGAACUUGAGUUGAUGAGAUUUCUUCUAAAGAAUGGACAGUGCUGCAGAGAAUGAGUUUCAGCUGGGCGGAAGACUUCGAGAAUCGCAGGGAGAUUAUCUCAAGGGUAAUGAAGUUUUCCAGAUCAUCUUCAAGUGUUGCUCUCAAAUUCUUUGAUCCUAAUCGAGGGAAUGUUUUGUUUUUUCAAGAUCUAAUUAAGAUGACAGGCUUGGGAGGAAAAACAUGCGAUAGAAAAUUUGUAAGUUUAUACGUAUUUGUUCGAAGUAACAUUCUUUUGGAUUUGAGGAAACAACGUCAAUUGCAAUGACGGCCUAAUGCUUUAUUUGAAGCACCAACUACCUAAUUAUCUUUUGAAUUGAUAUAUUGCUCAACGAGUCAGUUCUGUCCUAGUUGAUGAAUUUUACUAUUCAU
rnacentral:lncRNA from 1 species